UGCGGAGGCAGCCAUGCAGUCCUCCCAGCUAGAAAGAAACCAAGGGUCUGGAGGGGAGGUGCUCAGAGAAGGAGAGGCAUUGCUGGCAGGUGGCUGAGAGAGGAGCCUGGGGAGAAGGAGAGAUUUUAAUACGCCCUGGGACAGGAAAGAAGGGGCUCUCCAGGUCGGACGUUUCCUGAGGCUUGACGCUUGUCUCACCGGAUCCCUCUGGGAACGGAGGAUUCCGCGUGCAUCUCCCUGCUGGGGAGGUCUGAGCCAACUCGAC
rnacentral:lncRNA from 1 species